UACGUAGGGGGCGAGCGUUGUCCGGAUUUAUUGGGCGUAAAGAGCUCGUAGGCGGCUUAGCAAGUCGGGUGUGAAAACUCCAGGCUCAACCUGGGAACUGCAUCCGAGACUGCAUUGCUAGAGUAUGGGAGAGGGAAGCGGAAUUUCUGGUGUAGCAGUGAAAUGCGUAGAUAUCAGAAGGAACAUCAGUGGCGAAGGCGGCUUCCUGGACCAAUACUGACGAUCAGGUGCGAAAGCGUGGGGAGCAAACAGG
rnacentral:rRNA from 1 species